rnacentral:rRNA from 1 species
AUGGCCGAUCAGGAGAGCAUGGAUCUGCCCAACUCCGAUACGCAGAGUGUGAGCUCCCAAGUCAGUUGCAUCUCCGAGCAGAUGCCCGAGCGCUGCCAACACAAGGAGAUCGACUCGGAGAGAAUCAAACCAGCCUCCAGAUUCGAAUCCAACUUCGAGCAUGUGCAUUUACCCUACGGUGGCGAGGACGAGGGGGGGCGCGUAAACGGCCAAGUCAGUUGUAUAUUGGAGCAGGCGGAGGCCUUGUGCGACGAGAUGGCAUCUAUUCUGGGCAAAACCUCCUAUUACGAUGUCUCCAAUCUGUUUCACAUUGCGUAUAGAUUUCUGAACAUCUCCAGGAGUAUAUACGAUUAUACCUGCAAUGCUGAUAAACAGACGGCUGACCAAUAUGCUGAGGACCAGAGGACCAAGGAGCAUGUGGAGAUGACUGAUCAGGUGGACAAAGGCAAAUCCAGCACCCACUGUCUUAACCAGAGGAGCAAGGAAGAGGUGGAUGAAUCUGCAACAGAUUUGACAAUGGACCUUUGUAAAUCAAACAUGGAGACGCACCAGAUGGCUGCUGAUAGCCAGAUGACAGAUGACAAAGAUGAACAUUUUGUGGCAGCAGAUCUGAUAAGUGGUCUUUCCAACCAGAUGACUGUGCACUGUUAUGAGAACCAGAGUACUGUGGAGUACGUGGAGAUGAUUGAUCUCACGGUGGGCAAAGGCCAAUCAAGCACGGAGACGCAUGCGUUGAGGAUGAUGGACCAAGGAAAAUCAAGCAAUGAAGGCAAAUCAAGUAACGAAGGCAAAUCAAGCACGGAGACGCGUGCGUUGAGGAUGAUGGACCAAGGAAAAUCAAGUAGUGAAGGCCAAUCAAGUAACGAAAGCAAAUCAAGCAUGGAGACGCAUGCCUCGAGGAUGAUGGACCAAGGCAAAAAAUCAAGCUUUAGGAUGGUGCUGGAUUGCGAUGAGAAUGGUAUGCCCAACUUGUGCAAAUAUUACGAGAUGCUCGAAUGUGAGGAUGCGGAGGAGGAAGAUGAGGAGAUGACUCCGAAGGGUGUAAGGAUGUAUAACAAAUUCCGUAAGGAGCUAUUAGAGAUGGAAGCUGGCUUACGCAAGGACCGGGAGCAGGAUCAAAAGGACGCGCUGAGGUAG